rnacentral:rRNA from 1 species
AACGAACGCUGGCGGCAUGCCUAACACAUGCAAGUCGAACGAGACCUUCGGGUCUAGUGGCGCACGGGUGCGUAACACGUGGGAAUUUGCCUCGGGGUAUGGAAUAACUCAGGGAAACUUGAGCUAAUACCAUAUAAUGUCUUCGGACCAAAGAUUUAUCGCCCUGAGAUAAGCCCGCGUAGGAUUAGCUAGUUGGUGGGGUAAAGGCUCACCAAGGCGACGAUCCUUAGCUGGUCUGAGAGGAUGAUCAGCCACACUGGGACUGAGACACGGCCCAGACUCCUACGGGAGGCAGCAGUGGGGAAUAUUGGACAAUGGGCGAAAGCCUGAUCCAGCAAUGCCGCGUGAGUGAUGAAGGCCUUCGGGUUGUAAAGCUCUUUUACUCGGGACGAUAAUGACGGUACCGAGAGAAUAAGCCCCGGCUAACUCCGUG